rnacentral:rRNA from 1 species
UACGUAGGCAGCGAGCGCUGUUCGGAGUUACUGGGCGUAAAGGGUGUGUAGGCGGUUCUUUAAGUUUGGUGUGAAAUCUCCCGGCUCAACCGGGAGGGUGCGCCGAAUACUGAGGGACUCGAGUGCGGGAGAGGAAAGUGGAAUUCCUGGUGUAGCGGUGAAAUGCGUAGAUAUCAGGAGGAACACCGGUGGUGUAGACGGCUUUCUGGACCGUAACUGACGCUGAGACACGAAAGCGUGGGUAGCAAACAGG